GACGAACGCUGGCGGCGCGCCUAACACAUGCAAGUCGAACGAGCGAGAGAGAGCUUGCUUUCUCGAGCGAGUGGCGAACGGGUGAGUAACGCGUGAGGAACCUGCCUCAAAGAGGGGGACAACAGUUGGAAACGACUGCUAAUACCGCAUAAGACCACAGAGCCGCAUGGCUCGGGGGUCAAAGGAGAAAUCCGCUGAAGGAUGGCCUCGCGUCCGAUUAGCUAGUUGGCGGGGUAACGGCCCACCAAGGCGACGAUCGGUAGCCGGACUGAGAGGUUGAUCGGCCACAUUGGGACUGAGACACGGCCCAG
rnacentral:rRNA from 1 species